rnacentral:rRNA from 1 species
AUGAACUCCGCGAGGCACUCCGACAAGAGGAGAUAUGGCUACGACAGUGAUCUAGAGUUUUGUAUCUCCGAGAAGGGGAUCAGAAUACGGGCUAUUUCCACACCCAAGCUGUCCAGAGGCAACAUUUGUGGUGCAUGUGAAUGGGGAGUUGUUGCCAUAUUUUACACCCUUGAGAGGUUUUCGUCAAGGGGACCCCGUCUCACCGUACUUGUUCCUUCUCUAUGCAGAAGAGACAAGAGCUCGGUCUACUUUAGUCCUAACACGGCCGAACCAGUGCGCUGGAUGUUGAAGGCACUUUUGAACAUAUGGGUUGAAGCUUUCAAUGAACGCUAUCUGGGACUUCCAACUGUCGUUGGACGUAUUACUAGUGAAACUUUUGAAUAUCUUAGAGAGAGGAUCCGAAGCAAACUACAAGGAGGAACGGAACGUCUCAUUUCAUGCGCUGGUAGAGAGGUCAGGUUGAAGGCCGUGGCCCAAGCAAUACCAACACACUCCAUGAGUUGUUUCAAGCUCACCAAGAAGGUCUGCAAAGGGUUCUCUUCAACAAUGGCUAGAUAUUGGUGGAGUAGCUCAAUCGAUCACAGAUCACUACACUGGAUUGAUUGGCCUUCACUUGCUAAACCCAAGGUUGCCGGAGGGAUGGGGUUUUGUAACCUGGAAUUGUUUAACUUAGCCUUGCUCGGGAAGCAUGGCUGGAAUCUGCUUACGAACCCGGAGUCCCUCUGUGCUCACGUGCUCAAGGGAAAAUAUUUUCCACAAAGUGACUUCAUGGCGGCUACUGUUCCAAAGUGCGCCUCGGAUACAUGGCGGGCGAUCUGCACUGGAAGACAAGCGUUGGGAGCCGGCCUAGUAAAAGACCAUGGUCUAUGGAAUGUUGAUAUGGUGAGACACCAUUUUAUCGCUCCCGAAGCUGAUGCUAUUCUCAAUAUCCCGCUGAGGGCCGGAGGAGGAGAUGAUUUAUGGGAAUGGACGGCAGAAAAGUCGGGAAGGGACGGUCACGGAAUCUUCAGAGAAACAGAAACAGCUGUGGACAAGGCUUUGGAAGCUCAAAGUUGUGCCAAAGCUGAUUUGGCAAGGUGCAAAGUCCGCCUUGAUGCAGACGAGGACAUAUGUCAUGCAUUGAUCAAAUGCACUCAUGCUAAGCUCUUCUGGAAGGAGGCGCGGGGAUCCUUAUCUGUCAAACUCCCGGAGCUCCAUACAGAAACUUGGUCAAGGGAUAUCUUGUGUGACCCUAGGUUUGAUGAUGUGGAUCAAGCAAAAAUUAUCACUAUCAUGUGGGCGAUUUGGACUUCAAGGAACAACAUAAGACAUGAUAGGGAGAGCUUGGAUCCGUUUUUCUCUAUGAAGAUGAUCAGAGAGACCUUGUCUUUGCUAGAAAUACCUCAACAACAUGCAAGGAUCCUACCGGGUCAUGGUUGGGGAUCUCCUGAACAUGACUGUAUUAAAAUCAAUAACGACGCUGGAAUCUCUAUGGAGGCAAGGUUGUGCGGUCUUGGAGGUGUCGUUAGAUCUUCUGAUGCUUUCUUGAGCGUCUAG